rnacentral:rRNA from 1 species
AUCGAACGCUGGCGGCAGGCCUAACACAUGCAAGUCGAACGAGUGGCGGACGGGUGAGUAAUGUCUUGGAAACUGCCCGAUGGAGGGGGAUAACUACGGGAAACGUUAGCUAAUACCGCAUAACACCCGAUGUGCUCAGAUGGGAUUAGCUAGUGGGUGGGGUAACGGCUCACCUAGGCGACGAUCCCUAGCUGGUCUGAGAGGAUGACCGGCCACACUGGAACUGAGACACGGUCCAGACUCCUACGGGAGGCAGCAGGGGGGAAUAUUGCACAAUGGGCGAAAGCCUGAUGCAGCCAUGCCGCGUGUAUGAAGAAGGCCUUCGGGUUGUAAAGUACUUUCAGCGAGGAGGCGUUACUCGCAGAGGAAGCACCGGCUAACUCCGUGCCAGCAGCCGCGGUAAUUC